rnacentral:rRNA from 1 species
UACGGAGGGUGCAAGCGUUAAUCGGAAUUACUGGGCGUAAAGCGUGCGCAGGCGGUUUGUUAAGUCUGUUGUGAAAUCCCCGAGCUCAACUUGGGAAUUGCAAUGGAUACUGGCAGGCUAGAGUGCGGUAGAGGAUGGCGGAAUUCCCGGUGUAGCUGUGAAAUGCGUAGAGAUCGGGAGGAACAUCUGUGGCGAAGGCGGCCAUCUGGACCAGCACUGACACUGAGGCACGAAAGCGUGGGGAGCAAACAGG